rnacentral:misc_RNA from 1 species
UAAUAAGUGUUUUAUGGCACUUUUUAAAUCUCAUAUCCACCUUGUGUGCAAUGUCAGUCGAUCUUCUUCAUGGAGAUCGACCAAACAUCAACCUUUAUCUUUUAACUCUUUGUCUGAAAAAUAUUAUGAAUAAACAAUUCAAAAUA